rnacentral:rRNA from 1 species
UACGAGAAAGGGACUUCGGUCCUGAGUAAAGUGGCGCACGGGUGCGUAACACGUAACUAACGUACCCCAUCGCUGGGGAUAACUCCGGGAAACCGGAGCUAAUACCGAAUAAUUGUCGGAGUCUGCGGACUCUGCCAAUAAAGCCGUAAGGCGCGGUGGGAUCGGGUUGCGGCCUAUCAGCUAGUUGGUGGGGUAAAAGCCCACCAAGGCAACGAUAGGUAGCUGGUCUGAGAGGAUGAUCAGCCACACUGGAACUGGAACACGGUCCAGACUCCCACGGGAGGCAGCAGUUGGGAAUAUUGGACAAUGGGCGAAAGCCUGAUCCAGCAAUCCCGCGUGAGUGAUGAAGGCCUUCGGGUCGUAAAACUCUUUUAGGGGGGACGAAGGGAAACUUGACGGUACCCCCAGAAAAAGCACCGGCUAACUCUGUGCCAGCAGCCGCGGUAAUACAGAGGGUGCAAGCGUUGUUCGGAAUUAUUGGGCGUAAAGCGAGUGUAGGCGGUUAUCUAAGUCUGGUGUGAAAGCCCGGGGCUCAACCUCGGAAGUGCACUGGAUACUGGAUAACUAGAGGGCGAUAGAGGGGAACGGAAUUAAUGGUGUAGGGGUGAAAUCCGUAGAUAUCAUUAGGAACACCGAAAGCGAAGGCUGUUCCCUGGGUCGCAACUGACGCUAAGACUCGAAAGCAUGGGUAGCAAACAGGAUUAGAUACCCUGGUAGUC